rnacentral:rRNA from 1 species
AUGGACGAGACGGCCGCGCCACAGCCCGAGGCGGUGUCGCUCCCGGAGGACGCCGUCCGCGAGAUCCUCAUCCGCGUGGAAGGCAUGGCCGCUCUCUUCUGCUGCGCCGUGACGUGCAAGAACUGGAGCCACCUCGUAGCCGAUGCCUCCUUCUUUCGUCGUCGCUGGCCCGAUGAUCACAGGGUGAGCCGCUUCCUUGCCGGGUUCUUGGCCCCAAAACGGCUCGACCGUAUGGACCCCAACUUCCGGACAGGGGAGCCCAUGUUUGCGACGUUUUUCGUCCCGACGCCACGGUCGGUGUUCGCCCGCCGCUCCCUCAUCUCCUUUUUUCCCGACGCCGACGCGUGCCUUCUCGACGGCGCCGAGCCGCUCACUGCGCGCCGCGACCUCCUUCUCGUGCGCCUGUCUCCGGACAUAGCUCCUGGCUAUAAGUACGGCAAGUCUGUCGUUCAUCUGGCUGUGUGCAAUCUGCUCAUUGGCGUGUGCGAAGUGCUUCCCCUGCUAUGCGGACAUUUGGACUUCGCCAAAAGCGGCCACGCCAUCCUAACUAGCGCAGCCUGCUCGUCGAGCGCAGAGCAAAAGUCUUUGCAACCGGUCUACUCGACCUUCUUCAAAGUGUUAAUCAUCGGCACGAUGAAUCUCGGCCCGCCCAGCCUCUACACAUUGUCAUCCAAUGAGUCAAGGUGGAGCAAGCCUAUAAAAUUAACUUUUGUCACUGCUGGGGGGAUCCAUGACUGUAAGCAUCCGGAUGCCAUUGUGUCUCGCGGUAAGGUGCAUUGGAGCGUCUGGAACAGGACAACUUACUCGGAAACCAACGAAGACCCACAACUUGCGGUCACCGCAGAUGGGACGCCCUUGGUGUUACUUCUGUCAAGACCAGGCCUUGAGCUAAAGAUCUGCAUGCAGCAGGACGAAAAGAAGAGUCAUGAUGGUGCUAUUGCCAAGGCCAGGCGGCUCACCACGCGUACUGUCGAGUUGAAACCACCUGGGCAGUUUAAAAGAAGGCCUGAGAAAAUAUACAUGAGAUUGUUAGGAGAGAAGAGUGGCGUGAUGCUACUCAAGGAUAGCUAG